GCAGAGACUAAAACUCGUACCUUUUGCAUCAUGAUUUAGCCAGAAAACUCCAAGCAAAGAGCACUAUAGUUUGACACCCCGAAACUAAGUGAGCUACUCCAAGACAGCCUAUUUUAGGGCCAACCCGUCUCUGUGGCAAAAGAGUGGGAAGAGCUUAGAGUAGAGGUGACAGACCUACCGAACUUAGUUAUAGCUGGUUGCCUAGAAAAUGAAUAUAAGUUCAGCCUCCCGGCUUCUCCACAAACCGAGAGAGUUAGUCAAAGGGGGUACAGCCCCUUUGAAACAAGACACAACUUUAUGAGGUGAGUAAAGAUCAUAAUGCCCUAAGGAUACAUGUUUUAGUGGGCCUAAAAGCAGCCACCUGAACAGAAAGCGUUAAAGCUCAAACACACAAUCCUGAUAACCCAAUCUUAUCCCCCUCGCACCAACUAGGCUUUUCCAUGCUAACAUGGAAGCACUUAUGCUAAUAUGAGUAAUAAGAGAGACCUCUCUCCUCGCACGCACAUACAUCGGAACGGACAAUCCACCGAACAUUAACCGGCCCCAAACAAAGAGGGUAAUGAGCAACAACCAGAAGACCACCCACCGUUAAGCCCACACUGGCGUGCCCACAAGGAAAGACCAAAAGAAAAAGAAGGAACUCGGCAAACAGGCCUCGCCUGUUUACCAAAAACAUCGCCUCUUGUAAAAAUAAGAGGUCCCGCCUGCCCAGUGACAACAAGUUAAACGGCCGCGGUAUUUUGACCGUGCAAAGGUAGCGCAAUCACUUGUCUUUUAAAUGAAGACCCGUAUGAAUGGCACAACGAGGGCCUAACUGUCUCCUUUUUCAAGUCAAUGAAAUUGAUCUCCCCGUGCAGAAGCGGGGAUAAGCCCAUAAGACGAGAAGACCCUAUGGAGCUUUAGACACCAAAACAGACUUUGUUAAACACCCCUAGAUACAGGGCAUAACCAAAAGGACCCUGCUCUGAUGUCUUUGGUUGGGGCGACCGCGGGGAAUGCAAAUCCCCCAUGUGGACUGGGAGAACUCCUACAGCCAAGAGCUACAGCUCUAAGCAAUAGAACUUCUAACCUAAAGAUCCGGCAAAGCCGAUCAACGAACCGAGUUACCCUAGGGAUAACAGCGCAAUCCCCUUCUAGAGCCCAUAUCGACAAGGGGGUUUACGACCUCGAUGUUGGAUCAGGACAUCCUAAUGGUGCAG
rnacentral:rRNA from 1 species